rnacentral:rRNA from 1 species
UAAAGAGUUUGAUUCAGCUCAGAUUGAACGCUGGCGGGAUGCUUUACACAUGCAAGUCGAACGGCAGCACGGACACCGGUCUGGUGGCAGUGGCGAACGGGUGAGUAAUGUAUCCGGAACGUGCCUAGUAGCGGGGGAUAACUACGCGAAAGCGUAGCUAAUACCGCAUACGCCCUUCGGGGAAAGCGGGGGGACAGCUUCGGGCCUCGCACUAUUAGGCGGCCGAUAUCGAGUUAGCUGUAGUUGGUGGGGUAACGGCUCACCAAGGCGACGAUCCGUAGCUGGUUUGAGAGGACGACCAGCCACCUGGGACUGAGACACGGCCCAGACUCCUGCACGGGAGGCAACAGUGGGGAAUUUUGGACAGCUGGGGAAACCCUGAUCCAGCCAUCCCGCGUGUGCGAUGAAGGCCGCUUCAGGUUGUAAAACACUUUUGGCAGGAAAAAAACGGCACGGGAUAAUACCCCACAACUGACGGUACUGCAGAAUAAGCACCGGCUAACUACGUGCCAGCAGCGGUAAUACGUGGUGCAAGCGUUAAUCGGAAUUACUGAGCGUAAAGCGUGCGCAGGCGGUUGGAAGAAAGAUGCUGAAGUCAGUAUUUAACAGGCCUGUUUAACUAUGAGCUAGAGUAAUGACAGCGGAAUUCCGCGUGUAAGCAAUGGAAAAUGCGUAAGAUGCGAAGCACCGGCGAGACAGCUCCUGGGCUUUUGACUGCUCAUGCCGACAGCAUGGGUAAACAGGUUAGAUGCUGAGUCACGCCUGCAUUGUCAACUAGCUGUGCUGGCCUUCGGACAUGACGCAGCAACACGUGAGGUUGGCUUGCCUGGUGGUCAGUCAAAGCUCAAGAUCGCUGAAUUGCACAAGCGUUGGAUAAUCGUGAGUUCAGUCGUUAUGACUUGCUGAAAACCACCACCUGCCGGCAUGUCUAGAUCGGGAGGAUUGGGGGUCUCAUGGCGAAGAACCGGAUUUGGGAUGCAUGGCAUUAAGUCAACUCGAUCAGGAUGUUGGAUCCAAGUCCCAUAACGAGCGCAACCCUUGUCGUGGUGCUGGUCUAAUGAGACUGCCGGUGACAAACCGGAGGAAGGUGGGGAUGACGUCAGGUCCUCAUGGCCCUUAUGGGUAGGGCUUCACACGUCAUUACAAUGGUCGGGACAGAGGUCGCCCAGCCCGCGAGGGGGUAAUCCCAGAAACCCGAUCGUAGUCCGGAUCGCAGUCUGCAACUCGACUGCGUGAAAUUUGAAUCGCUAGUAAUCGCGGAUCAGCAUGUCGCGGUGAAUACGUUCGGGUCUUGUACACCGCCCGUCACACCAUGGGAGUGGGUUUUGCAGAAGUGGUGCUUCUAACCGUAAGGAGGGCGAUUACCACGGUAGGAUUCAUGACUGAGGUGAAGUCGUAACAAGGUAA